GGGCAGAUGGCUGAGCGGUCCAAGGCGCUACGUUCAGGUCGUAGUCCCGAGAGGGUUCGAAUUCCACUCUGCUCA